rnacentral:rRNA from 1 species
UUCUGGCUCAGGAUGAACGCUAGCGACAGGCUUAACACAUGCAAGUCGAGGGGCAGCAUAAAAGUAGCAAUACUUUGGUGGCGACCGGCGCACGGGUGAGUAACGCGUAUGCAACCUACCUAUCAGAGGGGAAUAACCCGGCGAAAGUCGGACUAAUACCGCAUAAAACAGGGGCACCGCAUGGUGAUAUUUGUUAAAGAAAUUCGCUGAUAGAUGGGCAUGCGUUCCAUUAGGUAGUUGGUGAGGUAACGGCUCACCAAGCCGACGAUGGAUAGGGGAACUGAGAGGUUGGUCCCCCACACUGGUACUGAGACACGGACCAGACUCCUACGGGAGGCAGCAGUGAGGAAUAUUGGUCAAUGGGCGGGAGCCUGAACCAGCCAAGUCGCCGUGAAGGAAGAAGGAUCUAUGGUUCGUAAACUUCUUUUGCAGGGGAAUAAAGUGCAGGACGUGUCCUGUUUUGUAUGUACCCUGAGAAUAAGGAUCGGCUAACUCCGUGCCAGCCGCGGC